GGGCUUGUGGCUCAGUGGUAGAGUGCUCGCCUAGCACAUGGGAGGCCCUGGGUUCAAUUCUCAGCACCA
rnacentral:tRNA from 1 species